GGCCCCGCCCCGGGCCGCGCUAGCACAAACUCCCACGCGAGUGCUUCCCCGCGUCUGGGCCGGGGAGCCCGGUUCUCUGCGCUCCAGCCCUCAGGCGACCGCGCCGAGGCCGCUGGCGCCGUGGUGGGGACCCGCGCCCCUCCGCGCACUUGAAGCUCAGCGCGGCUUCCGAUUGGCGCGCGCAGCGGGGGCCCGGGGAGGGCCGCGGGCUCCGCCAUUGGCCAAGGGGUGCACCUGUCACCGUCCCGACCGCCCGCCGCCCCGCCCCCGCGCCGCGAGGUCCUAAGCAGCCCGGACUGUUGCGCGGCGCUGGCGGGCGGGGACACCGCCGGGGAGUGGAUACUCCGAGGCUCAACCUGGGGCCUCUGCCCGCCCUCCGCUGGGUGCAGAGGCGGACAGCUGGCACUGGCAACCCCCGGGCCCCUGGAGAGCCCCGCGGCGGCCCAAGACCCGCUCCCAAGACACCUGGCCCCCUCCGGACUUGGUUGGUCCCCGGAGCCAGCUGCGCGCGUCCUCUCUGGCCUCCUUGUCGGCGCUGGAGUGGGUCCACGUCUGCCUUGCGGAGCGCGGUGGUUCCACGCUUCUGAGCGCCCACGCUGCGCAGACCUGGCUGCUCUGCGAGGCGACGGCAGCGCACUGAAGACUGUGGUGUUUCCCAAGCCCUCCCUGCUCCCGGGUCUCCAGGGCGCAGCAGGGGAGGGUUUUGUCCCGGUGACCAAAGCUCUGCAGGUCGAACCUUAUGUGCUCUGGAAAGGCCCUGCAUUUUCAGGCCUCUUGUUAAAGAACUGAAGAGUUCCUGCAGCUGCCCUUCCUUCCACUACUUGGGAAGGAGAUGGUGAUUUCUACAAACCAUCACAAAAGAAAACGCCGUUGUAGUCUGUGUGUAUUUACAUCUGGACUUACACACACAACUGGGAACCCGUGAGGACUGAGGAAAAAACCUGUACAUUCACAUAUUCACAAGAUGCGAGGCAGAUUCACGCAGGGCCCUCUGCAGACUGUUGGCAGAAACAAGGUAGCCACCAAACACAUGCAUAAGCUGGACUUUUCCCAGAAUGCUGCAGCAGAACUACCCUCCAGAUAGACACCAGCCUGCAGGCCACAGUGCUACGUGAGUCUUGCAAAGAGGAGAUCUUUACGGCAAGGCUGAGAGCACUGCCUGCAUGCUUUACCAGAGCCCAGCCUCCAGCCUCCAUGGAAAAUGUGUUUUGGAAUCAACACUCUUUCCAAAGGCUCCACACUGCUCUCUGGUGGCAUGGGCCUGGGCGCCCAGGCACCCCUUUAGAACCCACCUGUUCCCCCCACCCACCCUAGCGGGAGGAGGAGAGAGUUACACUGACAGAUACCGGCAGCUCUGCAACCCGGGAACAAGGCAGACAACAUACAACUCGACAGAGUCAAAGAAGGUGGCAUCCAUUGUGCCUGGAUGGUAACUACUGCCCUGCGGGCUGCUGGGUGGGUGAAACACACAGGGAAGAAGCACAAAUACACACACAGAUGUGGCUCAGGGA